AACGCGAAGAACCUUACCAAGGCUUGGCAUACACGAGAACGGGCCAGAAAUGGUCAACUCUUUGGACACUCGUGAACAGGUGGUGCAUGGUUGUCGUCAGCUCGUGUCGUGAGAUGUUGGGUUAAGUCCCGCAACGAGCGCAACCCUCGUUCUAUGUUGCCAGCACGUGAUGGUGGGAACUCAUAGGAGACUGCCGGGGUCAACUCGGAGGAAGGUGGGGAUGACGUCAAAUCAUCAUGCCCCUCAUGUCUUGGGCUUCACGCAUGCUACAAUGGCCGGUACAAAGGGCUGCGAUACCGUAAGGUGGAGCGAAUCCCAAAAAGCCGGUCUCAGUUCGGAUUGAGGUCUGCAACUCGACCUCAUGAAGUCGGAGUCGCUAGUAAUCGCAGAUCAGCA
rnacentral:rRNA from 1 species